CCACAGACAGCCUAACUUCCCAAGUAAGGGUAAGGACAGUGCACCAGACAAUGGACAGGUGGGACUCCAACUCAAGCAAGCCAUGUAUAUAAAUUCAUCUCCUCACCCAGGUUGAAGAUCAAAGUUAUCCUUCGGAUUUCGGGGAUGAAGCCCGUGACCAAAGGGCUCGUCAAUCAUUACUUGAAGCUGAAAGAACGAUCCACGUGUCGGUAUCCCAAUCAAUCCUGGUUCCUGAUCGGAACACACGGGCAAGGGACAUGCACGAAUAUCACCUAAAUAAAAGGCCAGAGAUAUUGUUCUUGGCCUUUUGAAGGUGCGACAAGAUGAGAAGGCUGAUAAUUCGGACAUCCUAGUAGAUUCAACUACCUCAUCUGCAAGCAAGUUAAGAAGGCGAUUCACUUAUUUCUAAUAAAAUCAGCGCGAUCCAAGUGACCGAAGACACUUUUGAAGCCGUGUUCAACUUAAGUUCCUACAUGCUUAUUGUGGAUUCAAAAUAAGCUUUGUGUUUUAGAAGUGAAAUCUUCUUUCUUGGCGAGAAGUCUAUUCAUCUUAUUGUAAUUUUUUAUUUCAUUUCAAUAUGAGAACAUCAAUUGCUCGAAGAUUGUUCAACCCAAAUUACAGUACUUCUCCAACUCAGUAAAUAUGGAUACAUUCGCGUAUCCUUGGCAGAUUGAUGAUUUUCCUGCAGGACGUCUUAUUUCCUACUU